CUACGGGAGGCUGCAGUGGGGAAUAUUGCACAAUGGGCGCAAGCCUGAUGCAGCCAUGCCGCGUGUGUGAAGAAGGCCUUCGGGUUGUAAAGCACUUUCAGCGGGGAGGAAGGGCUACUAGUUAAUACCUAGUGGCAUUGACGUUACUCGCAGAAGAAGCACCGGCUAACUCCGUGCCAGCAGCCGCGAGUAAUACGGAGGGUGCAAGCGUUAAUCGGAAUUACUGGGCGUAAAGCGCACGCAGGCGGUUUGUUAAGUCAGAUGUGAAAUCCCCGAGCUCAACUUGGGAACUGCAUUUGAAACUGGCAAGCUAGAGUCUUGUAGAGGGGGGUAGAAUUCCAGGUGUAGCGGUGAAAUGCGUAGAGAUCUGGAGGAAUACCGGUGGCGAAGGCGGCCCCCUGGACAAAGACUGACGCUCAGGUGCGAAAGCGUGGGGAGCAAACAGGAUUAGAACCCCCGUAGUC
rnacentral:rRNA from 1 species